rnacentral:misc_RNA from 1 species
CGUCCCAUUUCGCCUUUCGUAGUCCCUUCUUGGGGCGACGCGGGGUGAACCAUGAAGUAAUCUUUGUGUCCCACUCCCCUCACAUUCGGUUGUGCUCGUGGAUUGGUCCCCAGGGUAUUCGCUUGAUCUCUUGGAUGCGGUGCAUUAUACACGGGCAAGAGGACUCGCGUCCUCUGUCUGCCCGAACAAAAGCCUUCAUCGCUAAGUUGCGAGCGAUUGCGAUCCCCGUUUAGAGCCUUCGGGCGAGUCCGUGUAUUGCUUCGUU